GGACUGAGACACGGCCCAAACUCCUACGGGAGGCAGCAGUGGGGAAUCUUGCACAAUGGAGGAAACUCUGAUGCAGCGAUGCCGCGUGAGUGAAGAAGGCCCUUGGGUUGUAAAGCUCUUUCGUCGGGGAAGAAAAUGACUGUACCCGAAUAAGAAGGUCCGGCUAACUUCGUGCCAGCAGCCGCGGUAAUACGAAGGGACCUAGCGUAGUUCGGAAUUACUGGGCUUAAAGAGUUCGUAGGUGGUUGAAAAAGUUGGUGGUGAAAUCCCAGAGCUUAACUCUGGAACUGCCAUCAAAACUUUUCAGCUAGAGUAUGAUAGAGGAAAGCAGAAUUUCUAGUGUAGAGGUGAAAUUCGUAGAUAUUAGAAAGAAUACCAAUUGCGAAGGCAGCUUUCUGGAUCAUUACUGACACUGAGGAACGAAAGCAUGGGUAGCGAAGAGGAUUAGAUACCCUCGUAGUCCAUGCCGUAAACGAUGUGUGUUAGACGUUGGAAAUUAAUUUUCAGUGUCGCAGCGAAAGCGAUAAACACACCGCCUGGGGAGUACGACCGCAAGGUUAAAACUCAAAUGAAUUGACGGGGACCCGCACAAGUAGUGGAGCAUGUGGUUUAAUUCGAAGAUACGCGCAGAACCUUACCAACACUUGACAUGUUCGUCGCGACUUUAAGAGAUUGAAGUUUUCGGUUCGGCCGGACGAAACACAGGUGCUGCAUGGCUGUCGUCAGCUCGUGUCGUGAGAUGUUGGGUUAAGUCCCGCAACGAGCGCAACCCUCACUUUUAGUUGCCAUCAUUUAGUUGGGCACUCUGAAAGAACUGCCAGUGAUAAGCUGGAGGAAGGUGGGGAUGACGUCAAGUCCUCAUGGCCCUUACGUGUUGGGCUACACACGUGCUACAAUGGUAUCUACAACAGGAAGCAAAACGGCGACGUUAAGCAAAUCCUUAAAAGAUACCUCAGUUCGGAUUGCACUCUGCAACUCGAGUGCAUGAAGCUGGAAUUACUAGUAAUCGUGGAUCAGCGUGCCACGGUGAAUGCGUUCCCGGGUCUUGUACACACCGCCCGUCACACCAUGGGAGUUGGUUCUACCUUAAGGCAAGGUUUAAAAUCCUUGACCACGGUAUAGUCAGCGACUGGGGUGAAGUCGUAACAAGGUAGCCGUAGGGGAACCUGCGGCUG
rnacentral:rRNA from 1 species